UACGUAGGGGGCUAGCGUUGUCCGGAAUCAUUGGGCGUAAAGAGCGUGUAGGCGGCCCGGUAAGUCCGCUGUAAAAGUCAAAGGCUCAACCUUUGAAUGUCAGUGGAUACUGCCGGGCUAGAGUCCGGAAGAGGCGAGUGGAACUCCUGGUGUGACGGUGGAAUGCGCAGAUAUCAGGAGGAACACCAAUGGCGAAGGCAGCUCGCUGGAACGGUACUGGACGCUGAGGCGCGAAAGCGUGGGGAGCGAACAGG
rnacentral:rRNA from 1 species